rnacentral:rRNA from 1 species
CAGCAGCCGCGGUAAUACGAGGGGGGCAAGCGUUGUUCGGAAUUAUUGGGCGUAAAGGGUGCGUAGGCGGUUUGACAAGUCUUAUGUGAAAUCUCUGGGCUCAACCCAGAGUCUGCAUGGGAAACUGUCGGGCUUGAGUAUGGGAGAGGUGAGUGGAAUUUCCGGUGUAGCGGUGAAAUGCGUAGAUAUCGGAAGGAACACCUGUGGCGAAAGCGGCUCACUGGACCAUAACUGACGCUGAGGCACGAAAGCUAGGGGAGCAAACAGGAUUAGAUACCCCAGUAGUCCCUGUCUCUUAUAA